rnacentral:rRNA from 1 species
UACGGAGGAUGCAAGCGUUAUCCGGAAUGAUUGGGCGUAAAGCGUCCGCAGGUGGCAGUUCAAGUCUGCUGUCAAAGACCGGGGCUUAACUUCGGAAAGGCAGUGGAAACUGAACAGCUAGAGUAUGGUAGGGGCAGAGGGAAUUCCUGGUGUAGCGGUGAAAUGCGUAGAGAUCAGGAAGAACACCCGUGGCGAAGGCGGCUCUCUGGGACGGUACUGACGCUGAGACGCGAAAGCGUGGGGAGCGAACAGG